rnacentral:rRNA from 1 species
UACGAAGGGGGCUAGCGUUGUUCGGAAUUACUGGGCGUAAAGCGCACGUAGGCGGAUCGAUCAGUCAGGGGUGAAAUCCCAGAGCUCAACUCUGGAACUGCCUUUGAUACUGUCGAUCUGGAGUAUGGAAGAGGUGAGUGGAAUUCCGAGUGUAGAGGUGAAAUUCGUAGAUAUUCGGAGGAACACCAGCGGCGAAGGCGGCGCUCUGGGGCCGGUACUGACGCUGAGGAGCGAAAGCGUGGGGAGCAAACAGG